UACUAAUAUGGCAGAAAAGUGCAGUGAAUUUAAGAUUCAUAAAUAAAGGAACACCUUUUUUUAGU
rnacentral:tRNA from 1 species